CUGGGUUCAACUCCCAGGCCCAUUUGCCUGGGCCCAGACUUGCUCAAAUGAGUCCCAUGUUGGGCAUUGUUGCAAGUCUAGCUCAAUUCAUGCUAUGUCCCAAAUCAUUACACCGUACAAUAAUAACGUCUAUUACAAAAGAAAGAAAAGGGUCCAACUGCUAUAACCCUAUACUAAAUUAAACAAAAACUGAAUUUUAAAAAAUCAUUAUAACAGUCCAUUUCUACUACUGAGAGUCCAUGAAUUUACAUAAUUUCCUUGAAUACAAUUAUGUGUCUAAAAAAGAGUUAAGGUAAAGAGUAGACUUUUCCUCCUAACUUGGAGUCUCCAGCUAUUACAAAAUCUUUCACAAACAACUCCAACCUGCAAGAAAUCAGCUAUAAAGCUGUAUCUUGCAGGCUAGCAUUAAUUCCAACCCCGAAGCUUCUCACUGCUCAACAGGCUUUUGUUUCAGCUUAGAUUUUCAUGGAUCUGACCAUGUGAAAGGUUAGAUUCACAAAAAAUGCCUUCAAAUGUAUGGGCCUAUUGUAUUAUCAAAUCAAACUUAAAUAACCCAAUGCAAGAAUGAGUAAAAGGAAAAGCAAUGUUGUUCAUGAGUCUGACCAUGUUUAAGGUCAGCCUCACCAACAAACAAAGGCUUCCAACCCAUGAUCCUACUCUAAGUUCACAUAGAAAUCAGUUUUACCAAAAAAAAGAAAGGUAAAGGAAACAAACUUAGUCAUAUGAUGAAUGAAUCAAGGUGAAAACAAACAAAGUUAAUAGGGUUUGCUGAACAAUCAUACUUGAGAGAAAAGCAGGCAAUAAGAUAGUUAACACAAGGGCCACUUCUUAGCAUAUCACAAGGACUUAACAGAAAGCAGGCAUGAAUACUAAACUUCAGAUUUGAACAAGAAGAUUCAUUUCAAUAAAGGGAUGUGAUUACAUACCUAAAAAUGAUCCAAAACACAACAAUAAAGAGGACCAAAUAAAGGUCAAUAAACAAGGCUGAUUCAGAGCUUAAAUCCACAGCAAUCAGACAAAAGCUAACUCAGAAGUUCCAACCAGAAAUCAACAAGAAAACCAACCAGUUUCAACCAGCAAACCACAGCUAAAAGAACCAGUGUUUUCCGGAAAAACAUCCACAGCUAAGAGAAACCCAUUUUUGGAGUGUUUUUGUAUCUAAUCUUGGUAUUUUUCAGAAUCAGUAGGGAUUUUUCAAAAAAUGACUAAUAUCUGUAUAUAUUUUUUCAGAAUUUUUGAGUGCAGAAAAUGAUGCUGAAUCUGUGUGUGAGUGAGGAAAUGUUUUCCUUUUAUAAAGUGCAUAAAAAAGCAUAAAAAAAGAAUAUCCUAACCUAAAAAUUCUGAAAAUCAGAAUAGUACAACAUCUUUUACAGCUGUCUGUCCUUUUCCUUAUCCAAUAUCAACAUUUUAUGCUAAGGAUGGGGACAACUGUGCAAAGUUUAGAACAUUAUGAUAUUACCCUAUGUAAAAAUCCAUUUUUACCCUUCUAAUUACUGACUAUUUUAGCUUUGUCCUAAGUUUCGUUUAGUUCAAUUAGGUCCCUAUAAGUUCCUAUUGUUUUACAAACUAAGGCAAAUAAUACAAAACCAUAAGGGAUAAAAAAUUCAGAUAAAAAUGCCUAACAGAAUCAUGAGGCUGCAAUCUAAACCUAGAAACUAAAUCAAUCAGUAAAUAGAAGUGUUUACCUAAUUAAAACUAAACAAGAACUGAAUUUAAACAAACACAUAGGGCAAAUAAAGAAACAAACAUGGCAAUAAACAUGAAACAAAAUAAUUAACUUAAUGAACCUACACUGUAUUCAAUCCAAAAUUAGAAUGGAAUAGUAAAGACGAACUAGAAAAUUAACCUAAAACAAGCAAGGAACAUAGGACAAAAACACAAAAGGAACAGCAGAAUCGUUUCGUGUGUCAAGCCUAAAAAUGAAUCCUAAUUAAACUAAAUUUAUGCCAUUAAAGAUAAACUUUGAAUACUGAGAUUCCAUCAUGUUUUAAUUAAUCUAAUAAACAAAACAACCAAACGAAACUAAAGAGCUGUGAACAAAAGGAAAGAAAACCUAAAAUUGCAAAACUAAAUCAUGCGGCCAGAAUAAAAAAUAAUUAAACAUACAGAAGAAGAACAAACAGGGAAAAGAGAAAGAAAUUUACCUAAGCUUGUUUCAAAACUUGAGCAGUUAAGAACUUCUCCAAACUUCAAAGGGGAGGAUAUGAACUUGUUUCAUCCAUUAAUCGACUGUUCUUUGUCAAGAACAGUCGGCUAAUGGGCAUUUUAGGUUCACAUGUUCCAAACACUGACCGAGAAAAAGAAGAAAGGGAAACUUAGGGUUUUUGCAGAAUCUUAGAUUUAAGAUUCAACGGGAUUGGGGCUGAUUCGAAAGGAACUAUGGGGAUAUUUGGGGAGAGGAGGAGGAGGAGAUUGCAUGGUGAAGUUUUGGGUUGAUUUGGGGAAGUUAGGGUUUUUGGGAUUGAAACUCAAAUUUGAAAUUCGAGGGAUUUGAAAGUGUUUUUGGGGACAAGGAUGAUGAAUUUAGGAAGAGGAGGGAACAAGUGUUAAAGGAUGUUAAUUUGGGUGUGUUUAGAGCACCGGAACUGCCAGCGAUUUCCGGUGGUGGUGGGCGGCAGAGACAGUGAGGUUUUUUUAGGGUGGCUAGGGUUUGAGGUUUGAUUGGAGAAGCUGAGAAUGAGAGGGGUUUGAAGGGUAUGGGGGAAGGGGUUUCAGACUCUCUUAUACGUGAACAACACCUACUUCACAGCCAUUGGAUCAC
rnacentral:lncRNA from 1 species